GUGACCCAAACCCUCACCAGAGUAGCAAUUGGAGGGCAAGUCUGGUGCCAGCAGCCGCGGUAAUUCCAGCUCCAAUAGCGUAUAUUAAACUUGUUGCAGUUAAAAAGCUCGUAGUUGAAUUUUAGCGUGUUCGAGUUUGCCAUUCGUUUGGCUUUUUCGAGUUCGCUUUUGGGUUUUCCCUUUUUACUUUGAGAAAAUUAGAGUGUUUCAAGCAGACUUUUGUCUUGAAUACUUCAGCAUGGAAUAAUAGAGUAGGACUUUGGUUCUAUUUUGUUGGUUAUUGAACCUUAGUAAUGGUUAAUAGGAACGGUUGGGGGCAUUCGUAUUUAACUGUCAGAGGUGAAAUUCUUAGAUUUGUUAAAGACGAACUACUGCGAAAGCAUUUGCCAAGGACGUUUCCAUUAAUCAAGAACGAAAGUUAGGGGAUCGAAGACGAUCAGAUACCGUCGUAGUCCUAACCAUAAACCAUGCCGACUAGUGAUUGGAGGUCGUCGUUUUGCUGACCCCUUCAGGAACUUGAGAGAAAUCAAAG
rnacentral:rRNA from 1 species